GGGUGUGUCACCCACUCCAUCUUCCCUGCGUCAGUCGUCAAGCCGUUGACCAGCGAACAAGUUUUACAGUCGCGAAAGAUUAUUUAAAAAAAAAAAACAACACGUCUCUGGACACGGCGCUCCGGAGCGUCACGGUGAGAAACCCCAGGCGAGAGCCCUGGAGAUCGGGUACCGCCUCCGGGCACUUCUGAUUGGCCCCGGGCUUCCAGUGCCCUCCCGGGAUUGGGCGGCGUGCCUGUCCGUCCGGCUGGGCUCCUCCCCCCCGCGGUCCUGCCCAGAGUUUAGUCUGGUACAAUUAACCCACAGUAGCGGAAUUCUCCGAGCAGCCCUGGGGGAGCGCAUCUGAAAACCGAGGAAAUAUCUGCACCAAUCCCGCUCCUUUCUCAUGACAAAGGCCCCCCUACACACUCCAGCCCCCGAGGACCACGUUUUCGGGACUUGGCUUCUUCGUUUCCAGGGCGCCGCCGGAUCACCGUGCUAAGUGGAUUGAGGGAGACGGGCCGAGGGGCCGAGCGGAGCUGCGGGAUUAGAGUCUAAUCUGGGACGCGAGCGAGAUCCCAGCAGGCAGGGCGAGACCUGGGCGCCUGCGGACCGGCUGGACUCUUCCCGGGGGAAGGAAUAUCCCAAGGGAAGGGACAAGGGACAUUAUAGGAUCCUACAGGAUUUGCUGUGACACAAGUGUAAAUUGCUGCACUCUCGCCUCCCGACUGGAUACUAUAACUGUCACUUGACUGGCCCCCGAGGCUGAAUUCCCGGACUCUCCGUUCCAAACCAAGAACCCGAGAUCCGCGCUCAACGUGGGCGUGACCCGGGCACUGGCGACCCUGCUGGACCGGACCGGACCAGAACCGCACCGGAGCGGGCUUCGCACCAUCUUCGGACCGGACCGUUUCUGCCCCAGUCCUCGGAUCCCAGCUGGGCCCCGGGCUGAAGCGGACCCUCCCUCUCUGCAGCGGUACAACUCCUGAGGGUCGACAAACCGGCCGGCCGGGCUGCAGGAAGACCCUGCGUUCAGUCUGGAUCGAGGCGGCGGGAUUGGGAAACAGCAUGGGGCCGGAGAGGGAUCCGCGUGACGGCGCUGCGCUGGUGCCCGAGCCAGCGUCUUAACCACCAGCAGCUGGGCUGUCGACCCCCGCCUGCCCCCGCCCCGCCCCCACCCUGCUCGUGCCCCAGUCCCUGCCCCAGCUCCAGCCCUCCUAGUGCCCCAUCCCCUCCUAGUGCCCCAGUCCCUGCCCCAGCUCCAGCCCUCCUAGUGCCCCGCCCUGCUCGU